AACGAACGCUGGCGGCAGGCUUAACACAUGCAAGUCGAACGCCCCGCAAGGGGAGUGGCAGACGGGUGAGUAACGCGUGGGAACGUACCUUUCAGUUCGGAAUAACUCAGGGAAACUUGUGCUAAUACCGGAUACGUCCGUAAGGAGAAAGAUUUAUCGCUGAAAGAUCGGCCCGCGUUGGAUUAGCUAGUUGGUGGGGUAAUGGCCUACCAAGGCGACGAUCCAUAGCUGGUCUGAGAGGAUGAUCAGCCACACUGGGACUGAGACACGGCCCAGACUCCUACGGGAGGCAGCAGUGGGGAAUAUUGGACAAUGGGCGAAAGCCUGAUCCAGCCAUGCCGCGUGAGUGAUGAAGGCCUUAGGGUUGUAAAGCUCUUUCACCGAUGAAGAUAAUGACGGUAGUCGGAGAAGAAGCCCCGGCUAACUUCGUGCCAGCCGCCGCGGUAA
rnacentral:rRNA from 1 species